AACACUGUUAACCUGCGGUACCUGCGGAAGGAUCAUUACCGAGUUUACAACUCCCAAACCCAAUGUGAACCAUACCAAACUGUUGCCUCGGCGGGGUCACGCCCCGGGUGCGUCGCAGCCCCGGAACCAGGCGCCCGCCGGAGGGACCAACCAAACUCUUUACUGUAGUCCCCUCGCGGACGUUAUUUCUUACAGCUCUGAGCAAAAAUUCAAAAUGAAUCAAAACUUUUAACAACGGAU
rnacentral:misc_RNA from 1 species